rnacentral:rRNA from 1 species
GAUCCUGGCUCAGGAUGAACGCUAGCGGCAGGCUUAACACAUGCAAGUCGAGGGGCAGCGGGGAGUAGCAAUACUCCGCCGGCGACCGGCGCACGGGUGCGUAACGCGUAUGUAACCUACCUAUAACAGGGGCAUAACACUGAGAAAUUGGUACUAAUUCCCCAUAAUAUUCGGAGAGGCAUCUCUCCGGGUUGAAAACUCCGGUGGUUAUAGAUGGACAUGCGUUGUAUUAGCUAGUUGGUGAGG